rnacentral:rRNA from 1 species
UACAGAGGUCCCGAGCGUUGUUCGGAUUCACUGGGCGUAAAGGGUGCGUAGGUGGUCGGGUAAGUCUGAUGUGAAAUCUCCAAGCUCAACUUGGAAACUGCAUCGGAUACUAUUCGGCUUGAGGGUUGGAGGGGGGACUGGAAUGCUUGGUGUAGCAGUGAAAUGCGUAGAUAUCGGGAGGAACACCGGUGGCGAAGGCGGUUCUCUGGGCCUGACCUGACGCUGAGGAGCGAAAGCGUGGGGAGCGAACAGG